rnacentral:tRNA from 1 species
GCCUGGGUGGCUCAGUCAGUUUAAGUGUCUGACUUCAGCUCAGGUCACGAUCCUGUGGUCUGUGGGUUCGAGCCCCGCGUCGGGCU